AUCCGGCUGAGGAGUUCCAAAUAAGACGGAACGCGUGUUCUGAAU
rnacentral:hammerhead_ribozyme from 1 species